rnacentral:lncRNA from 1 species
AUGUCGUCCUUUUCGUCCCCCUACCCGUCUCUGAAGCCUGCGUGGUCCCUGCCAUCUGACCUCUGGCUCCUCAGAGAGCUUUCUUCAGACUCCAAAGCCAGUACUUUAAUUCUCUCAUCCUCCCCCACUGAGGUCCUAGUGCAGGGCCGAGGGGCUGCUGACCGGUUCCGUAAGAUGGCCAGAAUCCUAGCGCACAUCUGCGGGUUGACCCUGAGCUUGAAAAGAUAUAUUGGAAAUAGCCCAGCAGUACAGUGGGUGGCCUUCCAUUUGAAGAUACAAAAUAGAAUAAGAAAUGGAAUGUUAUUAAACAUCUUCACUGAAGCUAAAAUGAAUCUGACCAAGGAUUCUGCCAUACUUAAGAGUCUGUUAUCUGUUUGCCCACAUCGAAGAAGUGUAGAAGAUUUCAGACAAAUUCAAGAACAUUUAAAGAAGAACAUCUCAUUUCAGCAUUUGCCAAAUGAAGUCCAACUCCAACGUUGCCAAAUUGUAAUCUAUCAUGAGUCCCCCAUCACUGACUAUGUUAUAAUGGCAGCCAAAGAGGCAUCUUUUGUCAGCAAUCGUGUGACCCAUCAAGACCACUCUUGA